rnacentral:rRNA from 1 species
CUCCUGGAAACGGGUGGUAAUGCCGGAUGUUCCACAUGAGCGCAUGCGAGUGUGGGAAAGGCUUUUUGCGGCAUGGGAUGGGGUCGCGUCCUAUCAGCUUGUUGGUGGGGUAACGGCCUACCAAGGCGUUGACGGGUAGCCGGCCUGAGAGGGCGACCGGCCACAUUGGGACUGAGAUACGGCCCAGACUCCUACGGGAGGCAGCAGUGGGGAAUAUUGCACAAUGGGCGCAAGCCUGAUGCAGCGACGCCGCGUGCGGGAUGGAGGCCUUCGGGUUGUAAACCGCUUUUGUUCAAGGGCAAGGCACGGUUUCGGCCGUGUUGAGUGGAUUGUUCGAAUAAGCACCGGCUAACUACGUGCCAGCAGCCGCGGUAAUACGUAGGGUGCAAGCGUUAUCCGGAUUUAUUGGGCGUAAAGGGCUCGUAGGCGGUUCGUCGCGUCCGGUGUGAAAGUCCAUCGCUUAACGGUGGAUCCGCGCCGGGUACGGGCGCGCUUGAGUGCGGUAGGGGAGACUGGAAUUCCUCGGUGUAACGGUGGAAUGUGUAGAUAUCGGGAAGAACACCC